UACGAGGGGGGGCAAGUGUUGUUCGGAAUCACUGGGCGUAAAGGGAGCGUAGGCGGGCUUUUAAGUUAGGUGUUUAAUCCCGGGGCCCAACCCCGGACCGGCACCUAAAACUGGGAGUCUUGAAUAGUGGAGAGGUCAGUGGAAUGGGUGGGUAGCAGGUGGUGAAUGCGUAGAGAUCCCCAAGAACACCAGUUGCGAAGGCGGCAUCCUGGACCGGCAUUGACGCUGAACAGCGAAAGCCAGGGGAGCAA
rnacentral:rRNA from 1 species